AGAUGCAGAAAGUGGUCUAAGAACAUCUGCAGUUUUCACCUCUAGAUGCAGAAGGUGGCCUGAGGACAUCUGCAGUUUUUCUGGCUAAAGGCUUGGUUUUUGGCUGUGGGAGCAACUCAGGUCAGAAAUGCAGCCCAUUAAUGCCCCAGAGCAGCCCUCCACCAAAGACUAAAGGAAGUUGAUGUAUCAACACCCCAGCUCCCUCCUUCCUCUGGGGAGGAAGCCUGAGGUGUGUGGUUUUGUUAACAUUGUAUAUAGCUUCCUGCCUUCCCUGUCUCACUUUCCACUCUGAUCAAACAGUGCUGCCAGAGUCAGCUCCCCAAAAAGCCAUUCAUGUUCCCAUCCUUGUCUCUGGGCCUGCUUCUGGGGGAGCCUAACCUGAAACAGCUGAACAUGCUCAGCUUCCCCUACCCACUGGUUACCAAUGGUUACCAGGAGCAAAAACUCCAAAGUGGUUUUUUUCCUGGAUCAUUAAACCACAGCACCUCCAUGACAAAUGCUAAGUCCAAAAAUAAGGCAAGCCUGCUCGUUUUUUAGGGCAGGACAAUGGGAAAGGGUUUCGAGAAGUGUUUUUCCUAACCAGAGGUGGGACACUUGCCAGUCAGAAUUACCACUAGAACUUGGAGUUCCUGAUUCCUGAUGCAAUAUGUGUAUGUAUAUAUAUGUAUGUCUGUAUAUGUAUAUAAAUGUGUGGACUCAUACAUGAUUAUAUAUUUUAUAUCAUAUAUUUAUAUAACAUAAAAAUAUAUACUUAUUUACAUAAUGUAGAAAUUGCUUUAGCCCAAGGAUGCUAUAAAUGCAGGUUCUCCCAGCUACAGGAAUCCUGUGUUAUGGGCCAACAGGACCACACAGCAGGUAUCAUCUGAAAACCAACAGGCACUCAGGCCUGCCCAGUGUGGGAGAAAGGCUGGACAAGCCUGGCAAGAUGGUCUGGUCCAGGGACUCGUGAGUUAGCAUUUUUUAAAAUAGAAAGUGCCAUAUGAUGAGACCCUGUCUUUGCAAAAAAUUGAAAAGUUAGCCAGGCAUAGUGGUGCAUACCUGUAGUCCCAGCUACCCAGGAGGCUGAGGUGGGUGAAUUGAGCCCAGGAGGUUGAGGCUGCAGUGAACCAUGAUUGCGCCAGUGCACUCCAGCCUAGGUGACAGAGCAAGACCCUAUUGUGCUCUCUCUCUCUCUCUGUAUACUAUACACUAUAUUGAUUAUAAAAUACUGUACUACUACGCAUCUACCACAAUGGCUAAAAUUACAGAGACUGGCAUUACCAAGUGGUGAUAAGGAUGUGGAACUAAAGCUGCUUUUAAAUUGGCACGAACAUUUUGGAAGACUGGCAGGACCUAUAAAAGCUGAAUCUCGACACCUAACCUGUGAGCCGGCAAUUCCACUCCUAGGUAUCUACUCAGUGGAAAUGAAUGCUUGGGAUAUUCACAUAAUGGCAUAUAAUACAACAAUAAAAAAAAAAAACCUGCAGAUAGUCCCCAACAUAGGAUGGUUUCAUUUGUGAUGGUUCCACUUACAGUUUUUAAACUUUACAAUAGGUGAUCAUUUAUGAGAGUAUUAAAUGCAAUUUCUUUUUUUUUUUUUUUUUUGAGACAGAGUCUCGCUCUGUCGCCCAGGCUGGAGUCCAGUGGCGCGAUCUUGGCUCACUGCAAGCUCCGCCUCCUGGGUUCAUGCCAUUCUCCUGCCUCAGCCUCCCUAGUAGCUGGGACUACAGGCCCCGCCACUACGCCCAGCUAAUUUUUUUGUAUUUUUAGUAGAGACGGGUUUCACUGUGCUAGCCAGGAUGGUCUCGAUCUCCUGACCUCGUGAUCCGCCCGCCUCAGCCUCCCGAAGUGCUGGGAUUACAGGUGUGAGCCACCGUGCCCGGCCCAAAUGCAAUUUCUUUUAUUUUUUUGAGACAGGGUCUUAAUUUGUCACCCAGGCUGGAGUGCAGUGGUGCUGUCAUGGCUCACUGUACCCCUGUUCUCCUGGCUCAAGUGAUCCUCCCACCUCAGCCUCCCAAGUAGCCGGAUCUACAGGCCUCCGCUGCCAUGCCCGUCUAAUUUUUUGUUGUUGUGUUUUAUUUUUUUGUAGAGAUGGGGUUUCACCAUGUUGCUCAGGCUAGUCUCAAACUCCUGGGCUCAAGCGAUCCUUCAGCCUCAGCCCCACAAAGCGCUGAGAUUACAAGUGUAUAUUGCCACACCUGGCCUAAAUGCAACUUUGACAAUACUUUUGACUUAUGAUGGGUUUAUCAGGACGUAUCCCCAUUAUAAGUCAAGAAUAUUUGUACUGCAACAAGAAGAAAACAUGGAUAAAUACGACAGGCAUUAAGGUUUGCAAAACAAGCAGCAUUCUAAACUGUUCUGUAAAACGGCAUGUGUAUGAAAUUCAGGCAAAAUUUAUAUGAAGUGAGCUCUAGGGUAACGGAAGGUAGAACAGCAAUUACUUUUGGGGACUGUGACUAGGAAGGGGUAUAAAGAUGCUCUCUGGGACCUGAGAAUGUUCUAUAUCUUGAUAUGCGUGAUUACAUCUUGUAUACAUACGUAAACGUGUGUCUAGUUGACACCUAAGAUGUGUGUACUUUCCUGUAUGUAUGUUAUGCUUAAGGAGGCAAACCCCAAACUUCGAGUGGCCUCCAG
rnacentral:lncRNA from 10 species